GGCUGAUGGCUGGUCUAAGCAAGUUGCAAAGUUCUGAAAAACUGUCUUUACUCAUUCUGUAGGAUAACUGAAAACGUUCUGGGUGUAACAAUAGUUCUCUUGAAGCAACAUACGGAUUUCUAUUGAUAUUAUUAGUUAAGUAAGGAUGAAUCCAAAUUUUCCUUUUUUUUUUUUUUUUACUUUUUUUUUUUAAAUAAGGCCACAUCACCAUCACAUUAUCGUCUGAACUAUCUGAUUCCAUUUUCGGAUAA